rnacentral:rRNA from 1 species
UACGGAGGGGGCUAGCGUUGUUCGGAAUUACUGGGCGUAAAGCGCACGUAGGCGGCUUUGUAAGUUAGAGGUGAAAGCCCGGGGCUCAACUCCGGAACUGCCUUUAAGACUGCAUCGCUCGAAUUGUGGAGAGGUAAGUGGAAUUCCGAGUGUAGAGGUGGAAUGCGUAGAGAUCCGGAAGAACACCGGAGGCGAAGGCGGCUUGCUGGGGGUAGUCUGACGCUGAGGCGCGAAAGCGUGGGGAGCGAACAGG